GUUGUAUGGUUAAGUGACUAAGCGUACACGGUGGAUGCCUUGGCAGUUGGAGGCGAUGAAGGACGUACUAACUUGCGAUAAGCCUAGUCAAGCCAGUAAGAGGCGCUUGAGACUAGGAUUUCCGAAUGGGGAAACCCACCUGCUUGCAGGUAUCGUUAACUGAAUACAUAGGUUAACGAGGCGAACGCGGAGAACUGAAACAUCUAAGUACCCGUAGGAAAAGAAAUCAACCGAGAUUCCGAAAGUAGCGGCGAGCGAAAUCGGACCAGCCCUUAAGCUUUAGUGUAGUUAGUGGAACAUGCUGGAAAGCAUGACGAAACAGGGUGAUAGUCCCGUACACAAAAACUUAUCUAAAGUGAAAUCGAGUAGGUCGGAGCACGUGAAACUUUGACUGAAUAUGGGGGGACCAUCCUCCAAGGCUAAAUACUCCCAACUGACCGAUAGUGAACCAGUACCGUGAGGGAAAGGCGAAAAGAACCCCUGUGAGGGGAGUGAAAUAGAACCUGAAACCGUGUACGUACAAGCAGUAGGAGCCUACUUGUUGGGUGACUGCGUACCUUUUGUAUAAUGGGUCAGCGACUUAUAUUCUGUAGCGAGGUUAACCAUUUAGGGGAGCCGUAGCGAAAGCGAGUCUUAACUGGGCGCUUAAGUUGCAGGGUAUAGACCCGAAACCCGGUGAUCUAGCCAUGGGCAGGUUGAAGGUUGAGUAACAUCAACUGGAGGACCGAACCCACUAACGUUGAAAAGUUAGGGGAUGACCUGUGGCUAGGAGUGAAAGGCUAAUCAAACCGGGAGAUAGCUGGUUCUCCCCGAAAUCUAUUUAGGUAGAGCCUCGGACGAAUACUUACGGGGGUAGAGCACUGUUAAGGCUAGGGGGUCAUCCCGACUUACCAACCCUUUGCAAACUCCGAAUACCGUAAAGUAAUAUCCGGGAGACACACGGCGGGUGCUAACGUCCGUCGUGGAGAGGGAAACAACCCAGACCGUCAGCUAAGGUCCCAAAGUGUAUGUUAAGUGGGAAACGAUGUGGGAAGGCUAAAACAGCUAGGAGGUUGGCUUAGAAGCAGCCACCCUUUAAAGAAAGCGUAAUAGCUCACUAGUCGAGUCGGCCUGCGCGGAAGAUGUAACGGGGCUAAACAUACCACCGAAGCUACGGCUGCGGACUUUGUCUGCGGGGUAGGGGAGCGUUCUGUAAGUGGCUGAAGGUGUGCCGGGAGGCAUGCUGGACAUAUCAGAAGUGCGAAUGCUGACAUGAGUAACGACAAGAGGAGUGAAAAACUCCUCCGCCGGAAGACCAAGGGUUCCUAUCCCAUGUUAAUCAGGGUAGGGUGAGUCGACCCCUAAGGCGAGGCUGAAGAGCGUAGUCGAUGGGAAACGGGUUAAUAUUCCCGUACUCGGUAUGAAUGCGAUGGGGGGACGGAGCAGGCUAGGCAAGCAUGGCGUUGGUUGUCCAUGUGAAAGGCUGUAGGCUGGUGACUUAGGAAAAUCCGGGUUGCUAAGGCUGAGAGUCGAGACGAGCCACUAAGGUGGUGAAGUUGUUGAUGCCCUACUUCCAGGAAAAGCCUCUAAGCUUCAGUUCAUACUGAAUCGUACCCUAAACCGACACAGGUGGUCAGGUAGAGAAUACUAAGGCGCUUGAGAGAACUCGGGUGAAGGAACUAGGCAAAAUUGUACCGUAACUUCGGGAGAAGGUACGCUCUUGUUUGUGAAGGACUUGCUCUGUAAGCAAACGAGAGCCGCAGUGACCAGGUGGCUGGGACUGUUUAUUAAAAACACAGCACUGUGCAAAAUCGUAAGAUGACGUAUACGGUGUGACACCUGCCCGGUGCCGGAAGGUUAAUUGAUGGGGUUAGCUUAGGCGAAGCUCUUGAUCGAAGCCCCGGUAAACGGCGGCCGUAACUAUAACGGUCCUAAGGUAGCGAAAUUCCUUGUCGGGUAAGUUCCGACCUGCACGAAUGGUGUAACCAUGGCCACGCUGUCUCCACCCGAGACUCAGUGAAAUUGAAAUCGCAGUGAAGAUGCUGUGUACCCGCGGCUAGACGGAAAGACCCCGUGAACCUUUACUACAGCUUGGCACUGAACAUUGACCCUACAUGUGUAGGAUAGGUGGGAGGCUUUGAAGCAGAGACGCUAGUUUCUGUGGAGCCGACCUUGAAAUACCACCCUUGUAGUGUUGAUGUUCUAACUUAGGCCCCUGAAUCGGGGUUGAGGACAGUGCCUGGUGGGUAGUUUGACUGGGGCGGUCUCCUCCCAAAGAGUAACGGAGGAGCACGAAGGUUUGCUAAGUACGGUCGGACAUCGUACGGUUAGUGUAAUGGUAGAAGCAAGCUUAACUGCGAGACAGACACGUCGAGCAGGUACGAAAGUAGGUCAUAGUGAUCCGGUGGUUCUGAAUGGAAGGGCCAUCGCUCAACGGAUAAAAGGUACUCCGGGGAUAACAGGCUGAUACCGCCCAAGAGUUCAUAUCGACGGCGGUGUUUGGCACCUCGAUGUCGGCUCAUCACAUCCUGGGGCUGAAGUCGGUCCCAAGGGUAUGGCUGUUCGCCAUUUAAAGUGGUACGCGAGCUGGGUUUAGAACGUCGUGAGACAGUUCGGUCCCUAUCUGCCGUGGGCGUUUGAGAAUUGAGAGGGGCUGCUCCUAGUACGAGAGGACCGGAGUGGACGAACCGCUGGUGUUCGGGUUGUGAUGCCAAUUGCAUUGCCCGGUAGCUACGUUCGGAACUGAUAACCGCUGAAAGCAUCUAAGCGGGAAGCAGGCCUCGAGAUGAGUUCUCACUUUGACUUAGAGUCAACUGAAGGGCCGUUGAAGACUACAACGUUGAUAGGCGAGAUGUGGAAGUGCUGUGAGGCAUUAAGCUAACUCGUACUAAUUACCCGUGAGGCUUAACCAUACAACGCCAAAGUGGUUU
rnacentral:rRNA from 1 species